AAAUUUCAUAGAAUCUUGUUCGACAAAAAUGAAAGGAGAUUUUCUCGUCGAGGAAGAUAUGCGUGAAGAUUCCUAAGAAAAUGUCAGAUGUACGCGGUAACGAUGGCCACGUGCAAUUAAGAGGCGCGAGCAAUAAAGGCAAUCAAAUUAUUCAUAAAAACGGUUGGUUGCAUGUUACCCAAGCUGUGAAUCCGCCCUGGGGCUUCUUCGUCUUUCGACGAAGAUACAAUCUCUACGAUCGUAACGAGAAGAGAAUCCAUCGAUUCAACUAAGAGAGAGAGAGAAAAAAAAGAACGGCUCUUCUCUUUCACUAUCGAUGUAUCAAGGUUCCCCUGUUUCGAUCUAACACUUGCGAUUCUCUGAUCCUUUAUUCAGUGUGUGGCUUUCUGAUCGUGUAACGUGUUUCCCGGGACGAUUAACUUGGUAUAGCUUGGUCAGUUACGACCAAGGCGCUGGAAUCGCCGUAAUUACGUAAUCACGAAAUUGGCUUGCUCCUAAGGAACAGAAGGCAAAUUGAGGCAAAUGGUAAAAGGAAUCAUGGCCACCACCCACACCAGCCAAGAUACUGGGCCACGACAUUCCUUCUUUCAAUCGAAUUCUGGUAAUUCAAUACAAGUCUUCAGAAUACAGAAGGAACAUUAAAUCAACGUAUCUGUAGCGGAUGCGUCACUAGCCUUGCAACCCAGGUCCAAUAAAUCACAGAUAUUGCUAGGAUUGACCUUUGGCCGGCACAACAUUCCUGCAAAUACCCAACUUUCCCCGGCACGUAAGUUCCACGUGUUCGAGGAAAGUACUGGAAAAAAAAUCGGGCUAUAUGAUUAUAAGGAUCGACAUUGCGCAAGAUCUUGUUCUGUAUCUCCUACGAUACGUAUUUAUUUAUUUUUAUUCGUCAAAAGUGUCUCGAUAACUCUCACCCCUAUAUUCCACAGGAUCUAGAAUAUUUCUGGCUGUUUUGUUAUUCUAAUUAGUGUAAAAUACAGUUAACGAGGAAGCAUUGCAAGGAUGUGACUUUGAGUUCUAAAUGUUGCAAAAAGAAGAAGAGAAGUCUGAUAAUAAUGGUAUCAUUUCCCUGGCAACCUCCUUCUCCCUUCUGUUCGUAAAGACCCUCGUCCGUAUAACUCGAUUGAGAAGUAUUUCAAAACCGGAAGGUAAAAAUGAGAUUAAUCUUGGUUCAGUGUAUCGUCGAGAUUUCCGGGUGGCUCGUUCUCUCCUCGCGCUCCAACGAAGGGAGCGGAGCCUUGCAGCCGCUGCAACCGCAAAUAAUCGAUAUCCUUGCUGCGUCUAUUCUCUUCCUACCCUACCCGGCCCUUACUCCCUUCGCUUCCUCGCUCUUCCCUAUUUCCUCCCUCUUUCUGUUUCUGCUCCUCUCUCCCUUUGCACGCCAGCUCGUUCUUGCAUUCUUGUCGCCUACAAUUUUUAUCCACCUACGUGUACGAGCCGCUUUCCGACGCGUAAAGCUCUUCCAAUAGUGAAAAACCUUUGUUCUACGACGAUAUUUUUUUUUUUUUUCUUUCUCCAAACGUUUCGCGAAACCGAAACACGAAUUUCCGCCACCUUUUUCUUUUCUUUUCUGUCUUUCAGUCGGCUGAAAAGUUCUUGAUUUUUGGGGGAAAACCCAAGGCUACGCUUUCGCAUUUAUUUUUUGUUACGAGCUGGAAAGAAAUGGAUGAACGCUUGUCUUUCUGUUAAAUCUCAUCGUUCUGAAAAUACGUCUGUUUCAUAACUUCAGUCCAAUCUCUUUCUCUUGCUUUUUUCUUCAGUUCACUUCUUAGUAGCGAUUAAUCAGCACUUCUCUUAAUUUCGUAAAUGGUUCGUUGUCAAAAUUAAUUCUGUAGAUUAUGCAAUUUACUGAUGUUUUUGAAAACUACAUUUAUAGCCAAUUGGUGCUUCGGAGAGGCACGCAAAUCUAUGUAAACAAUCAAUCAUCACUAGAUCGCUAGAAGUAGCCGUGGUUUGUAAGAAGAAUGGCUCGCACAUGUAAUCGCGAUUGAAACAAAUCGGUUCAAUUAUCGUUAUAAAUUCUCAACGUCAGUCGACUAAACGCACUUGCUAAAGCAUCGAGUGACGUUUGUAAGCUUAACCGAAUGUAAUGAACUUUUCUUCCCUAUUCCUUUGUAAAUAAAAAACUGAAAAAUAUCUAAUAAAAAAAAAA